AAAAGGUGGCUAUGCUACCGCUUUUGGAUGGGCCCGCGGCGCAUUAGCUAGUUGGUGGGGUAAAGGCUUACCAAGGCAAUGAUGCGUAGCCGAACUGAGAGGUUGAUCGGCCACAUUGGGACUGAGACACGGCCCAAACUCCUACGGGAGGCAGCAGUAGGGAAUCUUCCACAAUGGGCGAAAGCCUGAUGGAGCAACGCCGCGUGGGUGAAGAAGGUCUUCGGAUCGUAAAACCCUGUUGUUAGAGAAGAAAGUGCGUGAGAGUAACUGUUCACGUUUCGACGGUAUCUAACCAGAAAGCCACGGCUAACUACGUGCCAGCAGCCGCGGUAAUACGUAGGUGGCAAGCGUUAUCCGGAUUUAUUGGGCGUAAAGGGAACGCAGGCGGUCUUUUAAGUCUGAUGUGAAAGCCUUCGGCUUAACCGGAGUAGUGCAUUGGAAACUGGGAGACUUGAGUGCAGAAGAGGAGAGUGGAACUCCAUGUGUAGCGGUGAAAUGCGUAGAUAUAUGGAAGAACACCAGUGACGAAAGCGGCUCUCUGGUCUGUAACUGACGCUGAGGUUCGAAAGCGUGGGUAGCAAACAGGAUUAGAUACCCUGGUAGUCCACGCCGUAAACGAUGAAUGCUAGGUGUUGGAGGGUUUCCGCCCUUCA
rnacentral:rRNA from 1 species